rnacentral:rRNA from 1 species
UACGAGGGGAGCAAGCGUUAUUCGGAAUCACUGGGCGUAAAGCGCGUGUAGGCGGCCUGUUAAGUCAGCUGUUAAAUACCUCGGCUCAACUGAGGAUCAGCGGUCGAUACUGACGGGCUAGAGUGCGGAAGAGAGAAGUGGAAUUAUCGGAGUAGCGGUAAAAUGCGUAGAUCUCGAUAGGAACACCGAUUGCGAAGGCAGCUUCUUGGUCCGUGUCUGACGCUGAGACGCGAAAGCGUGGGGAGCAAACAGG